AUUGAACGCUGGCGGCAGGCCUAACACAUGCAAGUCGAACGAGUGGCGGACGGGUGAGUAAUGUCUGGGAAACUGCCUGAUGGAGGGGGAUAACUACUGGCAACGGUAGCUAAUACCGCAUACCCUCGGAUGUGCCCAGAUGGGAUUAGCUAGUUGGUGGGGUAACGGCUCACCUAGGCGACGAUCCCUAGCUGGUCUGAGAGGAUGACCAGCCACACUGGAACUGAGAAACGGUCCGGACUCCGACGGGAGGCAGCAGUGGGGAAGAUUGCACAAUGGGCGCAAGCCUGAUGCAGCCAUGCCGCGUGUAUGAAGAAGGCCUUCGGGUUGUAAAGUACUGUCAGCGGGGAGGCGUUACCCGCAGAAGAAGCACCGGCUAACUCCGUGCCAGCAGCCGCGGUAAUUC
rnacentral:rRNA from 1 species